AUUGAACGCUGGCGGCGUGCUUAACACAUGCAAGUCGAACGAGAACGGGUUAUAGCUUGCUAAAAUUGUCAGCUAAGUGGCGCACGGGUGAGUAAUGUAUAGGCAAUAUGCCUCUUACUAAGGGAUAACAAAUGGAAACGUUUGCUAAUACCUUAUACUCCUUAUUAACAUAAGUUAAUAAGGGAAAGAUUUAUUGGUAAGAGAUUAGCCUGUAUUGUAUCAGUUAGUUGGUGGGGUAAUGGCUUACCAAGACUAUGACACAUAACUGGUUUGAGAGGAUGAUCAGUCACACUGGAACUGAGACACGGUCCAGACUCCUACGGGAGGCAGCAGUGGGGAAUAUUGCACAAUGGACGAAAGUCUGAUGCAGCAACGCCGCGUGGAGGAUGACACAUUUCGGUGCGUAAACUCCUUUUAUAUGAGAAGAUAAUGACGGUAUUAUAUGAAUAAGCACCGGCUAACUCCGUGCCAGCCGCCGCGGUAA
rnacentral:rRNA from 1 species